rnacentral:lncRNA from 1 species
AUGGAAUAGGGUGCAGUGUGUAGGUUGUAGGGUGUAUGUAUGGAAUAGGGGGUAGUGUGUAAGGUGUAUGGAAUAGGGUGCAGUGUGUAGAGUGUAUGUAUGGAAUAGGGUGUAGUGUGUAGGGUGUAUGUAUGGAAUAGGGUGCAGUGUGUAGGGUGUAUGUAUGGAAUAGGGUGCAGUGUGUAGGUUGUAGGGUGUAUGUAUGGAAUAGGGUGCAGUGUGUAGGGUGUAUGUAUGGAAUAGGGCGUAGUGUGUAGGGUGUAUGGAAUAGGGUGUAGUGUGUAGGGUGUAUGUAUGGAAUAGGGUGCAGUGUGUAGGGUGUAGGGUGUAUGUAUGGAAUAGGGUGCAGUGUGUAGGUUGUAGGGUGUAUGUAUGGAAUAGGGUGUAGUGUGUAGGGCGUAGGGUGUAUGGAAUAGGGUGCAGUGUGUAGGUUGUAGGGUGCAUGUAUGGAAUAGGGUGCAGUGUGUAGGUUGUAGGGUGUAUGGAAU